rnacentral:snoRNA from 1 species
CUGAUGAAAACAAACCGGUGAGAGGUGAACGGGCUGAGCUACGCUGA